AUUGAACGCUGGCGGCAUGCCUUACACAUGCAAGUCGAACGGCAGCACGGGGGCAACCCUGGUGGCGAGUGGCGAACGGGUGAGUAAUACAUCGGAACGUGUCCUGUCGUGGGGAUAACCAGUCGAAAGACUGGCUAAUACCGCAUGAGAUCGAGAGAUGAAAGCAGGGGACCGCAAGGCCUUGCGCGAUUGGAGCGGCCGAUGUCGGAUUAGCUAGUUGGCGGGGUAAAAGCCCACCAAGGCGACGAUCCGUAGCUGGUUUGAGAGAACGACCAGCCACACUGGGACUGAGACACGGCCCAGACUCCUACGGGAGGCAGCAGUGGGGAAUUUUGGACAAUGGGGGGCAACCCUGAUCCAGCCAUGCCGCGUGUGUGAAGAAGGCCU
rnacentral:rRNA from 1 species